CAGCACCUCAAGUGGUCAGGAUGAUUAUUGGGCCUAAAGCAUCCGUAGCCGGCUCUGUAAGUUUUCGGUUAAAUCUGUACGCUCAACGUACAGGCUGCCGGGAAUACUGCAGAGCUAGGGAGUGGGAGAGGUAGACGGUACUCGGUAGGAAGGGGUAAAAUCCUUUGAUCUAUUGAUGACCACCUGUGGCGAAGGCGGUCUACCAGAACACGUCCGACGGUGAGGGAUGAGAGCUGGGGGAGCAAACCGGAUUAGAUACCCGAGUAGUCC
rnacentral:rRNA from 1 species